rnacentral:misc_RNA from 1 species
GAUGAAGAACGUAGCGAAAUGCGAUACUUGGUGUGAAUUGCAGAAUCCCGUGAACCAUCGAGUCUUUGAACGCAAGUUGCGCCUCAAGCCAUUAGGUUGAGGGCACGUCUGCCUGGGCGUCACAUAUCGUUGCCUGAUGCCAGUUUCCUCGUGAUGGGUGACUGUGCAGGGCGAAUGAUGGCUUCCCGUGAGCAUUGUUGCCUCAUGGUUGGUUGAAAAUUGAGUCCUUGGUCGGGAGCGCCGUGAUAGAUGGUGGUUGAGUGACGAACGAGACCCAAUCAUGUGAGACCCCUACCGAAUUUGGCCUUCAUGACCCACAUGCGUCUUUGGAACGCUCAUGACGAGACCUCAGGUCAGGCGGGGCUACCCGCUGAGUUUAAGCAUAUCAAUAAGCGGAGGA